GGCUUCCUAAUUUUCUUCACUGACCCUGUAACCACACACGAAAUUAUCCAUCUGAUGCAAUGCACAACCCAAUAAAACUAAAGGAUCUAUAUACAUCAUCAACCAUAGGCAUUGCCGCAUUGAUCAUACUAGUUAGUGUCCAAUUAGAUUAAAAGUUAGUCCAUUCGCGGAAACUAGCUUUAACCGUGUAGAUUCUUCACUUAAAUUUCUUUAUAUAAAGGAAAAAGCCAACCAUAAUCAGAGAUGAACAUACAUAGACAACAACAAUCUAAAACAUAAAAAUCCUUCAUUGGAAUUAAAUUUAAACAUCAUCAUAGAUAUCAAGUUCGAAGAUAACAUCAGCUCUUGCUACUGCCAUAAAGAUUCGAAACUGAAACAAAACUCAAUCAGAUCAGAUAAAACCUAAACCCUCAAUUUCAACGAACAAAAUCUACUUUAAGGUAAGAAGAAGGGAACAUUCCAAGCUUCCAACAUACUGAUUACACAACUAGGGUUUCUCUCACCGAUUUCAGAUAAAAAAAACGAUUCCUUUUUUCUCCAAUCCAACAAAAUAAGAUAGAUUUGAUCUUACCAUCUGCUUGAGACUGUGUCGAU